AUCGUUGACAUCUCUGAGCGCAGAUCGGAGCGUGAUGACAUCACCUGCCCAAACCCUAGGCGGCUAUCCAAAAGCUAAUAUAACCACUUCAGACAUCGCGGAGCCUAACAAUGUCAAUAUUUAACCUGGAAACACAAUGUUAAGCUUAAACGGUUACGGUAUUCAGUAUAUUGUACCUCAAAUUUAUUGUUAAGUUUAUUUUUUUUUCCACAAUGUCUUUUAUUUAUGAUGACUAUAUGCUCUGUAAGGUGACCUUGGGUGUCUUGAAAGGCGCCUCUAAAUUAAAUGUAUUAUUAUAUUAUUAAAUGAUUACAACCACCUUGCUUUUUCUUUCCAACCAUUUGAAUUUUUUUUUUAAUUGUGUGCAUGUUUACAUUGUUAACUCCAUUUAGACUUUUUGAAUCUUUUCACUUGAAGUAAGCUAAUCAACAUCUUUACGUCUUAAACUUGGCUUUAUUAAAACAUUUUUAACAUCACUUCGCACAUUAGCGGAUAUUCUGCAGGAAAUGCAUUUUUUAGUUCUUUAUGCAUUUAUUUAUUGAAUAAUGACUUAAAAUGGUGUUCCAUUUAUGCUGCCACCAGGGGUGAGGGAGAUGAUCUACCCAUCAUGCAUCUGGGUGCUCACGCCCACUUGUGAUGUCACAAAUGGAUCGAUUUUGAAACCACUGUGAAUGUCUUCAAGACUGCAGGCACCAGUUAACAUAUGGGGUAGGAGUGUGUGUGGAGGACACACAUACAUACAUAGGAGCUCUAAUGUCUUCUUGCACUAGGACGGGUUGCUGGUUCCAUUCUCUACCUGGCCUCCGCUAUGGGGUGUUAUUUGAGCACGACGCCCAAGCAGGAGUCCUGAGCACCGGAGCGUUUUUUUCAAAGUACAGUCACUGACUAGAGGCCAACUAGCCGCUGGAAGGAAGACAACAUGUUGAACCCCACACUUAAUUAUCUUCUCACCGGACAGCGUCUACCCUGGGAUGUGGCGACACCCAGUGGAACACUGGGCUCAGUUUACUUAAGUCAAGUUGAACCAACUCAGGAAUAUUUUUAACAUUCAUAUUUAUAUAGACACACACCCACACAUAUUUAAAUUAUCAUGAAAGCAUUGGCACCUGAGCUCUGCAAUCCAAAAUGUAAAUCAUCCAUCAGGUGUCAAUUGUUCGAUAUAAUCAUAGUUCCCCGUUUACUGGGAGUUGUGGUACAGAGUUGUGGUACAAUCUUAGUUUUUAGCGGAGCUUGGUUGGUGUUGGUCUGGUCUAACUCAUGUCUCCAGGUUCACUGGAGCUCUGGCCCAGCAGGGGACCGGUGAAGGUGGUGGAUGUGGUGGGGAAAGGAAGAUGUGGAAACAGGAUGGAUUUGAGGAGCAGUUUAAUCAGGACAGAGUUCCACAUCAACACAGAGAGAGGUGCGCUCUGUAGGAAUGUUGGCCAGAAGACUCAACGGAUGACAGCAUAAUAAAUACCACUGGAUUUAUUAUCACUGGAAAUUACUAAGUGCAAUGCUCCUCUUGUCAUAUACUCCCUGAAGGGUUUUCUAGAUAAUUACUCUAGCUAUAGAAUCUCUAGAUAUAGAUUUUCUAAGUUACGGGUACAGUAAAGGGAAACCUUUCUGGUGUUAGAAAACUUCCAAUGGACAGGUUUCUCUAGACAGUUUGAUACUUUAGGGGAAAUCUUUCUCUAGAAAAUAAGACACUAUUAAUCAUGAUCGUUAAAUUAUUCAAACAGGCGUCUCUGAAGAGUUAAAUACUUUGAAGAAAAAAGUAUCUGGAGAAGGCAACGGAUCAAUGUUAACAGGACCGAUCAUUCCAUAGCUCCUGACCGUAAAUAAUUAUUAAAUAAUUAAAACAGAGGCUUAAGAGCACUCUGGGAGGGCUAUCACAGUGAAGGAAUAACAGUAUCACCGACAUAUCUGAGCACUCGGGGAAAGAGAAGGCCUACCGCCCAGUGUAGAGGAGAAGGCCUUCCGCCCAGCCUAGAGGAGAAGGCCUACCGCCCAGCCUAGAGGAGAAGGCCUACCGCCCAGCCUAGAGGAGAAGGCCUACCGCCCAGCCUAGAGGAGAAGGCCUACCGCCCAGCCUAGAGGAGAAGGCCUACCGCCCAGCCUAGAGGAGAAGGCCUACCGCCCAGCCUAGAGGAGAAGGCCUACCGCGCAGUCUAGACUGGCUGUUUGGGGUCAGAAGGCCUACCGGUUGUUUGGGGAGUAGCAUCACAGAUGUACACUUCAAGUAAUUUCAGGUAUGUCAAAUAAACAAUCAAUAUAAAUCAUUAAAAAUAUUAUAGAUCUGUUUUCAUACCAAAUGAGGAACAUCUUUAAAGGAUGUCAUACAAAAGAUAAAAAAAACUUCCAGGAACCAUGGAAAUGUUUUGAUUGGCUGUGAAUGCUAAUGCUAAAUUAUGGGAUGUAGCAAGUCUGCAAACACACAAAAAAGGAACAAUUCAAACAAGCGACGGCAAAUAAAAUAGAAAAAAAUCAAAGACGUCUUCCAUCGACAGUACGGACUACAGUACAGACUGUGCUACAUCCCACAUCCUAACAGCGCUUCACUAAAAUACAUUUCAUGGUCCUUGCAUAUAGAAUUGUACAGCUACAUUUCAACCCAGGAAAUGUAGGCAGGCUUCAUGUGAAGUUACGAAACAUAUACAAAUAUAAUUCAUAAUAUAAUUUGUAUAAGAGAAAAUAAUUAUCAAAACUAUGGGGGUGACAUCACAUUCUAUAUGCUUUUGUAAAAGGGGGGUUCAGAGCUCGAGUAAGGAGGGGGGGGGGGAGAGGGGAGGGGAGAGAGAUGAGAACGAUGACAUCACAAAGGCCCCGGUUUAACACCACAUGUCACAUGACCUAACCAGUGGCUUCGUGAUUGGCCAUCAUUAUAACAAGUAUAAAACACACUGGACAUAUGGAACGGUUGCGGUACUGACCGCGUUGCCAGAUUGGGCCAGGUUGGACGGGAUAUCUCUCCCAAUCUGGCAACACUGCGCACGGACAUCCACGUGAUGGUGGCCAAAGGUUGCUCACAGUAAUGCUGAGCUCAGGGCGCCCUGACGGAGGGCGGCAGUGAACCGGUUCACAGAGUUCAGACCUCAAAUAUAAAAACACUCAAGUAAAACACCACAGGGGUCCACCACGACAUCCUCUCUGCCCCAGAGGGCACUUUCAGUUACCAAGAACGACUUGAAACACAUUACAGUGACACGUUAUAACAUCUGCUUAAAAAAAAACAAACAUGUUACCCUGCAUCACAAACGCUACCAGUGACGACGUUGCCUUAUAAAAGGUGGCGGUCUAGUGGUACCUCCCGGGGUAAGGCCUGGGUAGACCAGGAUGAACCCUGCUCUUCUCUCAGGUCCGGACCUGCCGCCGACCGCCUCUGAGGUCUGACGGAGACCCACUAGACUAUGAAGACACACUACAUUACCACACACACGCUAUUCAGAACCAGAAGGGGGGGGUGACUGGUUGACUAGGACCACUGAGUCGGUGCCACUAAGAAUAUCCAGACGGUUGAUUCGGGAAUCCUGAGGGGGACUUCUACUUUGAAGCCGAGCAACAGGAUGUGAGGCACCGCUGUUCACCUGCGGGGCUGUGCGUUUAUUCACCAUCUUCGCUGAUCGGUUAAUCGUGUACGGCAAAGAGCAGGGCAAGAGCUAGGAAUUAAAGAGCAGAUCUAGGACUUAAAGAGCAGUUCUAGAGCCAGGAUUCAAAGAGCAGUUUUAGAGUAGCAGGUCAGAGUUCGGAGUCCGGAGUCAAGCAGACUAGCUAACAGGUAUGUAAAAGUAAGCUAGCCGAAGUGUCUAAUGUGAAACACGGUGGAUGCGAUUGGCUGGACAGGCUGCUGUGGCGCUGUGUUCAUCCUUAUACCUACUCAACUACAUCAUCACUUAUCACUACGCCAAAGGUUAGCCCAGCUGUAGCUCCAACGCUAGCCAACACUACAGGAAGGUUAGCCCAGCUGUAGCUCCAGCGCUAGCCAACACUACAGGGAGGUUAGCCCAGCUGUAGCUCCAGCGCUAGCCAACACUACAGGAAGGUUAGCCCAGCUGUAGCUCCAGCGCUAGCCAACACUACAUGGAGGUUAGCCCAGCUGUAGCUCCACCGCUAGCCAACACUAUAGGAAGGUUAGCCCAGCUGUAGCUCCACCGCUAGCCAACACUACAGGAAGGUUAGCCCAGCUGUAGCUCCACCGCUAGCCACGCUCCAUGAAGGUUAGCCCAGCUGUAGACAGGUAAUCUCCUUGACAAGCAUAUGAGCAGAAACACCAGCAGGAAGUGACAUCACAUCCACAGGUUUCUUCCUGUGCUCCUAUAGGCCUGAAGAGGUUCCAGGUACUGCUGCCGACCCGACAGGUCAUCUAAAUUGGCGUGUUCACACCGCGGCGCAGCUAGACAGGGGACCCCAUAGGCUCUGUGGCGCAGCUAGACAGGGGACCCCAUAGGCUCUGUGGCGCAGCUGGAGAGGGGAACCCAUAGGCUUUGAGAGUCAGCUGGACAGGGGACCCCAUAGGCUCAGUGGCGCAGCUAGACAGGGGACCCCAUAGGCUCUGUGGCGCAGCUGGAGAGGGGAACCCAUAGGCUCUGUGGCGCAGCUGGAGAGGGGAACCCAUAGGCUCUGUGGCGUAGCGAGACAGGGGAACCCAUAGGCUCUGUGGCGCAGCUGGAGAGGGGAACCCAUAGGCUCUGUGAGUCAGCUGGACAGGGGACCUCAUAGGCUCUGUGGCGCAGCUAAACAGGGGACCCCAUAGGCUCUGUGGCGCAGAUAGACAGGGGAACCCAUAGGCUCUGUGGCGCAGCUAGACAGGGGACACCAUAGGCUCUGUGGCGCAGCUGGACACGGGGAACCCAUAGGCUCUGUGGCGCAGCUAGACAGGGGAACCCAUAGGCUCUGUGGCGCAGCUGGACAGGGGACCCCAUAGGCUCUCAACCAGGGCCUCAUUAGGACGGGGGGGGUCUGGGGCCAGCGGGAGCAGGUCUGGACUCUGCUGAACUGAGGUACAUGGACUUCAUCUCGGAGCUCGUCAGUUAUUCUUCUUCCUUUUAUAAUAUUAUAUUCUCUUGGAGAUAAAAUGUGCUCUUCGUCUUCUGUACAAAAAUAACUUAGAAAAACACGCAGAGUGGCGAACUGUUCAGUAGACGAGAUCCUCGCCUUGACCUUCGACCUCCCGGGCGGGACAGCGCCCCACGGUCAUGUGACGCUGUCGUCUCCACGACGAUGUUGGCAGCUCGUGUGUGUGUGUGUGUGUGUGUGUGUGUGUGUGUGUGUGUGUGUGUGUGUGUGUGUGUGUGUGUGUGUGUGUGUGUGUUAGUGUGUGUGUGUGUGUGG
ensembl:lncRNA